GAGUUUGAUCAUGGCUCAGAUUGAACGCUGGCGGCAGGCUUAACACAUGCAAGUCGAACGAGUGGCGGACGGGUGAGUAAUGCUUGGGAAUCUGGCUUAUGGAGGGGGAUAACUACGGGAAACUGUAGCUAAUACCGCGUAGUGAAAGAUGCCAUGAGAUGAGCCCAAGUGGGAUUAGGUAGUUGGUGGGGUAAAGGCCUACCAAGCCUGCGAUCUCUAGCUGGUCUGAGAGGAUGGCCAGCCACACUGGAACUGAGACACGGUCCAGACUCCUACGGGAGGCAGCAGUGGGGAAUAUUGCGCAAUGGGGGGAACCCUGACGCAGCCAUGCCGCGUGAAUGAAGAAGGCCUUCGGGUUGUAAAGUUCUUUCGGUAUUGAGGAUGACGUUAAAUACAGAAGAAGCACCGGCUAACUCCGUGCCAGCAGCCGCGGUAAUACGGAGGGUGCGAGCGUUAAUCGGAAUAACUGGGCGUAAAGGGCACGCAGGCGGUUAUUUAAGUGAGGUGUGAAAGCCCCCGGCUUAACCUGGGAAUUGCAUUUCAGACGGGAUAACUAGAGUACUUUAGGGAGGGGUAGAAUCCCACGUGUAGCGGUGAAAUGCGUAGAGAUGUGGAGGAAUACCCGGGGCGAAGGCAGCCCCUUGGGAAUACUGACGCUCAUGUGCGAAAGCGUGGGGAGCAAACAGGAUUAGAUACCCUGGUAGUCCACGCUGUAAACGCUGUCGAUUUGGGGAUUGGGCUUGGUGCCCGUAGCUAACGUGAUAAAUCGACCGCCUGGGGAGUACGGCCGCAAGGUUAAAACUCAAAUGAAUUGACCGGGGCCCGCACAAGCCGUGGAGCAUGUGGUUUAAUUCGAUGCAACGCGAAGAACCUUACCUACUCUUGACAUCGACAGGUGCUGCAUGGCUGUCGUCAGCUCGUGUUGUGAAAUGUUGGGUUAAGUCCCGCAACGAGCGCAACCUUAUCCUUUGUUGCCAGCGAUCGGGAACUCAAAGGAGACUGCCGUGAUAAACGGAGGAAGGUGGGAUGACGUCAAGUCAUCAUGGCCCUUACGAGUAGGGCUACACACGUGCUACAAUGGCGUACAGAGGGUGGCGAAACUGCGAGGUGGAGCGAAUCUCAGUACGUCUAAGUCCGGAUGGAGUCUGCAACUCGACUCCAGAAGUCGGAAUCGCUAGUAAUCGCGAAUCAGAAUGUCGCGGUGAAUACGUUCCCGGGCCUUGUACACACCGCCCGUCACACCAUGGGAGUGGGUUGUACCAGAAGUAGAUGCUUAGGGCGUUUACCACGGUAUGAUUCAUGACUGGGGUGAAGUCGUAACAAGGUAACCGUAGGGNAACCUGCGGCUG
rnacentral:rRNA from 3 species